rnacentral:rRNA from 1 species
GUCUACGGCCAUACUAUCCUGAAUACACCUGAUCUCAUCUGAUCUUAGAAGACAAGCAGGGUUGGGUCUGGUUAGUACUUGCAUGGGAGAAAUAGCUGGGAAGUGGGGAAA